GCUGCCACCCAACCCCGGGAGCCCAGCCAAGCGCUGUGUUUUUCCAGGUCCGCGCAGGGCCAGGGGAACCCUGCGUGUUUGUUUGGUGGGAAUGGAUUACUGGAAAGCUAGACGGAAGGUACCCUGUAAACCGGCAGGAGAAUUCCUCAAUACGAUCUUCCAGCUUACAUGUUCUGUCUUCAGGGUUAUCCGUCCAGAUCUCUUUAAUGUCUGACUGGAUCCCUUCUGCUUCUACAAUCAGUCUGUUGGGAUAUGUUGUUUUGGUUGAAAAUGUGAAGCCUCAUCCAAAUAUGUCGUUGGAAAAGCAUCCUCAGCCUGUCUUUAUUGACCUGGUUCCAUCGAUCUGUGACUUGGCUCCAUCUCACCUCUUCCAAAAAGCCUUCCUGGAUUAAACUUUACAUCAACCCCAUUUUGAUUUGGCUAA
rnacentral:lncRNA from 1 species